AAGAUGCAGGAUAGUGACGGUGACCAUCUCGGUGUUCAGGCGACCGACUUCCAGACUCCGAAGCCGGCGAGCUGCGCCCUGCAGAGCUAAAGCAGGAAACGCAUGACGUCAGAUGAGAGCAGGACCCUGCACUAGCCGGUGAGAACCUAAAACCUGGAGGGAUUUGCCAUGAAAAUGUUAUUAGCUCAGCAUCAGCUAAUAACCUUCUGCAAGUGGAUUACCCGCCAUCUUGCUCAGAAGACUGUGAUUUGCCAUCACAGCACCUAGACAUUAUGAGCUGUCACUUAUCUUUUCUGAAUCUGAGUGUUGAUCCGUGUGGAAGAGCCAUGGCCACACCCAGCCACUUGCACUGAUGAAACCACGUGUGUCCCUCAAAUGUGUCCAGGAAGAGGAAAAGCUGAGACUCACUGUG